GACGAACGCUGGCGGCGUGCCUAAUACAUGCAAGUCGAGCGGAGUCUCGGCGAGUGCUUGCACUCGUUGAGGUUUAGCGGCGGACGGGUGAGUAACACGUAGGCAACCUGCCCAUCAGCCCGGGAUAACCCACGGAAACGUGAGCUAAGACCGGAUACGUCGCAGGGUCGCAUGACCUUGUGUGGAAAGACGGCGCAAGCUGUCGCUGACGGAUGGGCCUGCGGCGCAUUAGCUAGUAGGUGAGGUAACGGCUCACCUAGGCGACGAUGCGUAGGCGACCUGAGGGGGUGAACGGCCACACUGGGAAUGAGACACGGCCCAGACUCCUACGGGAGGAAGCAGUAGGGAAUCGUCGGCAAUGGACGCAAGUCUGACCGAGCAACGCCGCGUGAGUGAGGAAGGGUUUCGGCUCGUAAAACUCUGUUGCCAGGGAAGAACGCCCGUGAGAGUAACUGCUCAUGGGGCGACGGUACCUGGGAAGAAAGCCCCGGCUAACUACGUGCCAGCCGCCGCAGUAA
rnacentral:rRNA from 1 species